rnacentral:rRNA from 1 species
UACGAAGGGGGCUAGCGUUGCCCGGAAUCACUGGGCGUAAAGGGUGCGUAGGCGGGUCUUUAAGUCAGGGGUGAAAUCCUGGAGCUCAACUCCAGAACUGCCUUUGAUACUGGCGACCUUGAGUCCGGGAGAGGUGAGUGGAACUGCGAGUGUAGAGGUGAAAUUCGUAGAUAUUCGCAAGAACACCAGUGGCGAAGGCGGCUCACUGGCCCGAUACUGACGCUGAGGCACGAAAGCGUGGG